rnacentral:rRNA from 1 species
CAGUCGCCACGGUAAUACGGAGGGAGCUAGCGUUGUUCGGAAUUACUGGGCGUAAAGCGCACGUAGGCGGCUACUCAAGUCGGGGGUGAAAGCCCGGGGCUCAACCCCGGAACUGCUCUCGAAACUGCCAUGCUUGAGGGUUGGAGAGGUGACUGGAAUUCUCGGUGUAGCAGUGAAAUGCGUGGAUGUCGAGAGGAACACUCGUGGCGAAGGCGAGUCACUGGACAACAUCUGACGCUGAGGCUCGAAGGCUAGGGUAACGAAAGGGAUUAGAUACCCCUGUAGUCCCUGUCUCUUAUAC